rnacentral:rRNA from 1 species
AUUGAACGCUGGCGGAAUGCUUUACACAUGCAAGUCGAACGGCAGCACGGGAGCUUGCUCCUGGUGACGAGUGGCGAACGGGUGAGUAAUGCGUCGGAACGUGCCGAGUAAUGGGGGAUAACGCAGCGAAAGUUGUGCUAAUACCGCAUACGCCCUGAGGGGGAAAGUGGGGGAGUCGCAAGACCUCACGUUAUUCGAGCGGCCGACGUCUGAUUAGCUAGUUGGUGGGGUAAAGGCCUACCAAGGCGACGAUCAGUUAGCGGGUCUGAGAGGAUGAUCCGCCACACUGGGACUGAGACACGGCCCAGACUCCUACGGGAGGCGAGCAGUGGGGAAG